GACGAACGCUGGCGGCGUGCUUAACACAUGCAAGUCGAACGGAAAGGCCCUGCUUUUGUGGGGUGCUCGAGUGGCGAACGGGUGAGUAACACGUGAGUAACCUGCCCUUGACUUUGGGAUAACUUCAGGAAACUGGGGCUAAUACCGGAUAGGAGCUCCUGCUGCAUGGUGGGGGUUGGAAAGUUUCGGCGGUUGGGGAUGGACUCGCGGCUUAUCAGCUUGUUGGGGGGGUAGUGGCUUACCAAGGCUUUGACGGGUAGCCGGCCUGAGGGGGUGACCGGCCACAUUGGGACUGGGAUACGGCCCAGACUCCUACGGGAGGCAGCAGUGGGGAAUAUUGCACAAUGGGCGGAAGCCUGAUGCAGCAACGCCGCGUGCGGGAUGACGGCCUUCGGGUUGUAAACCGCUUUCGCCUGUGACGAAGCGUGAGUGACGGUAAUGGGUAAAGAAGCACCGGCUAACUACGUG
rnacentral:rRNA from 1 species